AAGCAGUUGCCUCCUGAGGGUGGGGAGGUGGAGUGAAGGGAGUUCUUGUGGUAGGGGGUGGGAGCAUUGCACAGAAAAUCUGGCGUGAGGUGGUCCUGAUCUCUCUCUUCCACCCCCCCACCCCCCACACACACUGACAGGGAGAAGCACCCCCCCCCCCCCCCCCCAGGAGAAAGCCCUGACCCCUGAAGUGACAGGAGACACCGUGAUAUUAACACGGGGAGGAGGAGGUGGAGGCGAAGGGAAUUGACAAGAGCUGAAACUGAUCGGCAGGGAGAGCCGAGGCCAACAGCUCCCGCUUCACAGGGAGGUUAGGAAAUGUAGUUCUCCCCUCCAGCCCCCAGUCCAACGACCGGAGAAGGAUUUCUGCCAUUGUCAAAAAACAGGAUUGUUUUGAUUCGGUUUUAAUAUUAAUAGCAUGAUCACCCUGGAACUGCCGAUCCCGGAAUUCACUGAGAGAGAGAGAGAGCUGGAGUUGGGGGGUGGCAGUGCCAGCCAUGGAUAGUACCAUCACACUUUGGCAGUUCCUGCUGCAACUUCUCCUGGAGCCCAAGAAUGACCACCUGAUCUGCUGGACAUCGAACGAUGGGGAGUUCAAACUGCUCAAGGCUGAGGAUGUGGCCAAACUCUGGGGAUUUCGCAAAAACAAGCCCAACAUGAACUAUGAUAAGCUGAGUAGAGCUCUGCGAUAUUAUUAUGACAAGAACAUUAUUAAGAAGGUGAACGGACAGAAAUUUGUCUAUAAGUUUGUGUGCUAUCCGGAGAUACUGAACAUGGACUUCAACAUGAUGGGCCGGCCUGAGAAAGGAAUGGACGUGGCUUUGCCCGACAUAAGUCGGCCACAAAAGGACAAGGAGAACCACAGCCAGGAGAAAGCAACCUCUUCCUCCAAGAUCUCGAGUCGCAACGACUACAUCCGCUCAGGGCUCUACUCGUCCUUCACUUUGAACUCGCUACAAACUAAUCCCAACAUCUUUAAGUCCAUUAAAAUUGAGAACCCCGGCGAGAAACUACCGGAAGAGAAGAAGAAGAAGAAGCCACCUCCUCAGGAACCGGUCACGGUCAUUAAGUUUGUAACCAACCCACCGAAUAGGGAGCUGCCGGCCGCUAUGGUAGAACCUGUGGUGGUGCCCUCGGUCGCGGUGACCCCACCGAACCCCACAUCGUCGGAGGAGUCCCUGACUGUGCCAAACAUAGUGACGUCCUUCGCCUUGACUCCAUCCUCCGUCUCACCCCCCACACCUCUGCCAUUGAGUCCCGGCUCACCCAUUUUAGAGCCCUCUCUGGAUCCUGCUGCUGGCCUGGCCGUGGAGACUGAGUUGGCCACCAGCCCAUCGGAUGACCUGACCCAGUCUCUGGAACUCUCCUCGGACGGGGAAGAUCCAUCGCUGGACAGCUCGGAAACCAGACAUCAGAAGGGUCGGUCAAAGAAGCCUAAGGGACUGGAACUGACUCCAGCUUUGGUUAUUACCAGCAGUGACCCAAGCCCUCUGGCUCUGCCAAGUCCUCCCCUCCCAGCAGCAUCAUUGACACCUGCCUACUUAACCCAGACUCCAUUCUUACUGACUCCCAGUCCAUUAUUGUCCAGCAUCCAUUUCUGGAGCACCCUUAGUCCAGUGGCCACACUCAGUCCAGCCCGAAUGCCUGGAACCAGCACUUUAUUUCAAUUUCCAAACAUUGCCAACAGUCACAUGCAGAUCCCAAUAUCGAGUGUGGAUGGCUCAUCAACUCCAGCCUCCUUGUCACCAGACCUUCAGAAGGCCUAACCAAGAAGCUGUCAUGUCAUGAAGCCUGGCCUGUGCAACAAGGUUACAAAGGGAGCUCCUCUCUGAGGAGUUGUGAUGACCAGUUGUGAUGAUGCCAACCAGUGUAAAAUUGGUGAUCAGGUACCUGAGACCUCAACUGGCAGCUGUGAUGGCAGGCCCCUGCCCAGAACAACGUGGUAUGCUGGCAUAACGAUGGCAACAAUAGGACUUGUUUCAUUGUUCCUUUUACUUUUAAUCUUUGAUUUGGAAUCCACUUACUUUACUGAUUCCAUUUAAUCAAACAACUGUGACGAGAUUUAACGCUGUAUCAAUGCAAGUGAUAUGGAAUGGACAACGUUUUGCAUAUUUCAAAAUUUCUCUGGCGCUACCUAGUUAUUUUGGAGUUCCUGCACCUGUACAGACAUUAUUGUUCAGCUCGAAGCAGUGAUCUCAAGGGAAGGCAGUUGACUUUUCAGUUUUAGAUCUGCGUUGCUGCCUUUAUCUUCUGCGCCCUCACUGAUUUAUGAGGGAUGGAGAUUAUGUCUAACUGGAAGACCAAAAAAGAGCUUGAGUCACACUGCCCGGCACACUCUCCAUCUUUUCAGAUUGGAAUUCACCUGUAGAAUGUGAACAGCAGCUUUCUAAGUGUUCCUUCAUUAAGUUUCAUUGCUGAGGCUCCCAAAGUCUCAGCUGCACAACUGAUUUCAAGAAACGGGACUCCCAGACCCAGACUACGUAUCAUCAGUGCAGCUUGCUCCUCCUAUCCCUUUGGAGAGAUCUGCCCCUUCUCCAUUACUUGGAUCUUCACUUUUGUGAGUGAAGGCAGGGCCUGUCUGGAAUCUGCUAUGUGUGUGCGACAGGACUUAAAGAACCACACUCUCAGCUCCUUCUGUCCACUGCCAGUGCACCUAUGGGGCAAUUUAUGAAUAUCACUUCAGUUUUGAUGGGCAGAGUUGCUCUGCCCAGACUGAAGAAUUACAUUUGUCAACUGAACCCAUGGCAGGUUGUGUUGUAGCUUUUCCUUCACUUGAUAAACAAAGGCCCCUCUCAGUUUUCUGGUACCCACCGAAAACUUCAUCUGUAGUUCUACCUAGCCCCCCACCUUCCACCAUUUGAUAACUCCCACCAUCUCACACUGUUCAAACUAUUAGUUCCACCAUCUCUAUUCCUUUUCAUGAUGCCUAUCGUUGCAAUUCCACUUCUAUCAUAUCUUCGUCUCCACUUCCAACUUGGUGCAUCUUUUCUUCUCUCUGGGAAGCUUCAGCCUCUUUAAUUUUAUUAGCUCUUCAGCUUUAACUUGCAGAUGCAUCCCAUUUUUUAUCUUUCAUCCCUUAUAAUUUCUCUCAUUUUCUGCUCCAGUAUUCCAUGACAUUGCUUUUACCCCCAAUGAACAACUUGAUCAUGAGCUGGAUUUAAUUGCACUGAGUACAAAUCAACACAUUUUGAAGAGAUGAUAAUUUUCCUCAACGUUUUAAGCUUUUUUUUUAACAUCAAGGAAGUUAACAAAUGAGCAAACACUGUCUGAGGUUCAGUAUUGAUUUAUAAUGCUGUAUUUGCUUUAGGUAGGUGAAAUAUCUUGUUUUUCUAUUAGGAUGUCAUCUCAUUUUUUGACUGGCAUGCAAAGGGACUGUGUGUGGGUUUUUUGCAGGUGGAUGAUUAAACCAAACUCGUUCCUCAAUGCGAUGAUGGUUAUGUCACACCAAACCUUUUCCCCUCGAGGAGACCUUUAUUGUGUCUUUUGUUUUUUGAAAAGCAAUCACUUGCAGGCUAUGGGCAUUGCUGGCUAAAGCCACAUUUGUUGCCCAUCUAGCACUGACCUUGAGAGAGUGUUGCUGUGCUACCUGCAUGAACCAUUGCAAUCCCGUGUGGUGUAGGGGCACAGUCAAUGCUGCUAGUGGACUAGGUGGGAGUUCCAAGAUGUUUGCAUGCCAUAUAAAUGGUUGGUGCUUCAAAACAUUUAGCGAGAUGUUUUAUUUUGUAAGUUUUUAAUGGUACAUGAAAGAUUUGGGUGCUAAGUUGGUUUUCUGAGUUCUAAUCUCAUUUGCAAUGCGAAGAAUACUGCACACUAACAAAACAAAAUACUUUCCAUUUUUAGUGACCAACAUUCUAACACAUGAACGUAUGAAUUAAGAGCAGAAGAAGGCCAUUCAGCCUUCCCUCACAGCCUAGCAUCUCACCAGCAUCACCUCCCAAAUGGCUCAACUCUUCCAGCCAAACCUUGUUGCCAUCAAAUCAAAUCUUUGAUCAAUCCUUGAGGAGCAAUGCCUUUUUUUUGAUCCUAAGGGUGGUGUCACCGUGUUUUGAAAAUGGAUGUCAUGCUGUAAUCAGGUUGAAAUGAGCAUAACAUUUGAUAUGAUGUUGGGAAGGGAAGUUUCCCUCAGCCAAUGUUCCUCUCUGAAGGAGCAGCAACUAAACAAAGAGAUAAAUUAACGAGUCAGUGCAUUGUCACCCUGAGAGAUGCUAGAAUCACUUCAUCUGUCGCUAUAGAUUAUGUGGCUGCACUUCACAAAGGAAUUAUUAAGUGGAAAUACUUCGGCAUUUUUUAAGAACUGAUUAAAAGCAAGAAUCAUCAUUUGUGAAAUUUCUGUUCAAUCCUAAUUUUCAACUGAAACAAAACUUGGCUCAGGCUGGAUGCUGAGGGGACAUGAUAAUGCCAAUUACCAUCACUUCUUCAGUGUCGGAAUUUGGUCAUAAGUUCUGACCAAACAGGUUCCAAGAACAAAGACAUUUUCUGAGUAGAGUGACAUGGGCAGAUCUUUUGAUAUACAUUUCCAUCGUAUCUGUUUAUCACUCGCCAAUGAACUCAUUACAGAGCUGACUAGCAGAGAAUGUAAAUCAAGUGAAAUCAACUGGGCAUCUAGGCCAGUGCCAAGAGCAAAGUGUUUCGGGCAAAUAUGCAUGCACCAGAAAUGAAGCUCUGGGAUUGAGAGCUCUUCCUUAACUUUCAAGGAAUGGAAUAAAUUCGCCAACAUUUUUUUUUUGAAAACGGAUUAUUUAAUCUAGUUGAAGCUGACUGACUGUGAAGGUCUUGUUUUCCAGUUGGACUAAACAUCUCCAUUUGUUAUUGAAAGUGCAGAGUGGUCAGGAAAGCAAGAAACUCACUUCCCAACCCCAUGUGCGAGGGGUUUGAGGUGUUUCUGGAUGUUGACAGCAGGCAAGAAGCAGAGGGCAGAGUGGUGAGAGAUGAGACACUCAUCACUGAGAGUUGCCCACUGUGCCAAUUUCAAAACUUUACUGGGGUGUGAGCGGGAUCAUUUGUGCAUAUUUGCUUUAUUGACAUUGAAAAUUUAUUGAAAUUCAUGAACAAAAACUUCCACAGCAGAAGAUUCAGAGGAGGAAGAAAUAGAAUUUAGCUUUAAACACAAAUCAGACUUGUUUUGUAUUUUGUUUACAUUUGAGACAUUUCGAAAUGAGUAAAAUUCUCACUGAAAGUCAAGAUUAGGUAGCUAGCGACCAAUUAGGAAAGAAAUGAUUUAGCAGUGACCCCACAGACAAUAAAGGAGAGAGAAUAGUCACCAUCUAGUACAGAGUUCUGUGUGGGCUGUUUUCAGAUAUAGAGUGGCAGGAUGGUUUAAACCAAGAAAUUGAUCACGGAACUGCUUGAUGUAUCCAUGGGGGUGUGAAAUUGAUCAUCACACCACAAACUGGGAAGCCUUACCUGCUUAUGCUGAGUUCCUGCUCAUCCCAUUAAAUUUUGCAAAACCUUCCAGGAAAACCCUGGAGUCUCUGGGAAUUAAUGACUAAUCUUCUGAACACUGCUCGUGGGAAAGUAUAUAUUAGGAAUGUCAAAAGAAAAUUGUAUUUUUAAAAUUGUUUUCUUUGAACGACUUUGCUAAUUCAUUAGAAAACUAUUGGACUUGGUCUUUUCAACAAAGGGCUGUUUGUCUGGGCAGGAGGAUUGAAGGCAAGGAUGAUACCUCUAGGAAUACAUCCGAUUAGAGUUGGUAUCCCAACAUCUCAGAAGUUUUCAUUUUAAACAAUGAAACAAAAACAGUCUACUGCAAGCACUGAUGCCAUCCCUCGUAAUUGUCAAUUAACCUGUGCCAUCAGCGAGACAAGGCAUCAACUAUCUCCCAAUGUCUUUGCCAAAGGUUGGUGGCCUUCAAUAGCCUUAAAUCAGGAAGGAAAAAUACUUUGGAAUUCCUGUUUUCUCAAAAGGAAAAAGAAUAUCAGCUGAAAAGGCUGUGAGAAUCCUGCUGUGAAUCCUGAUUGUACUCAGGCUGGUAAAAGAUGGGAAAUCCCUUUUAUUUGUGAUGAAACUGGGCAACAUUUACAGGGCAAUUAUCAGUGGUUUCAUCCUCCCAGUUUCCCUCGAACAUCAAAGUGAUCCAGACAUGAUCCACAAAUGUUUGAAGAAUUGUUUCAGGCAGGGCAUAUCAGUGAUUGGUUUGAUAUUACUCACCAGGGUCUCAUACAGCACUGACCAUUUCAUCUCAUACUCAAUUCUGUCUUUGUUAUUUUAAACCUUUUCUGUAUCAAUCUCAGUGGUUGCUCAGUGGGUGAGACUCCCACUUCCAUGUGUGUAAAUUAAACCCAUUUCAAAGCUAUCAGUGCAGAGUUCUAUACAAACGCUCCCAGUGCAAUACUGAGGGGCCGUUAGACUGGCAGAGGUGCUAUCUUAGGCCUGAUCCAUCAGCCAGGUAUAAAAGAGCAGUAAUAUUCUCUCUCUCUUUAUACUUCAGCCAAUGUCACUGAAAGCAUCUAGUCACUGGCUCUUUGGUGAGAUUUUGUUAGGGACAAAUUGUCACGUUUCCUCAUUACAACAGCGGCUUCAAUUCAAAAGAACAUCAUUGUCUGUAAUGUUUAAGACAGUGUGAGGCAUUUGUUAUUGAAACAGCAAUAUUCUCUUGCCCUGUUUGCACAGCUAUUUGCUGGACAACAAAAACUGCUUUCGGAAAAAGGUCAGAAGUCAUGAGACACCAAGUUAUGGUUCAAAAGGUUUAUUUGAAAUUACAAGCUUUCGUAGUGCUGUCCCUUCAUCAGGUACAGUGCUCUGAAACCUUGUGAUUUCAUUAACCUGUUGGACUAUAACUUGGUGUCAUGUGACUUCUGAUUUUGUCCACUCUAGUCCAACAUUGUCACCUCCACAUCUUGGACUUAGUGCCUGAUAACCCUGAACCUCAUUUACACACCAUCUCCACAAACCCAUCUCUGUAGAGGUUACCAAUUCCCUUGGCUCCUCUUGAAGUUAAAGAUUAACCUCUGCUGUGACCACACGAGCCAUAGGUCCAUAACCAAAGUCUGAGAAGGGGACAGAAAAACAGUCAGAUUGUCCAUCAAAAAUCAUCCAAUCAGAUAAUAAGAAAUCUGUUUGCGUGCCAAUGGAUAAGAGAGAGUGGGAAAGUGAAGAUUAAUGCGUUGUACAGCCAGUGGUGAGAGGACAAGGGUGGUUGAGUGUGUGAGAAUGUGAUGGAACCUAUAAUCUAUUAAAAUGCGUAUGCAAAAAUCAUUUCCUCUUCAUUUAAUUGUUUCUUGAACCUACCAAUAAUUCCCUAUCAAUAGAUCUCUUUAGUAACAAUUUCAAAUCAGAAAUAUGCAAAUUAGGGUUAGGACCCCCUCAAGUCUGAUCGACAUUCGAUAAGUUUUUAUGGUUGAUCCUGAUUACUCCACAUUCCCACCUGACUCACUGGUAACUUUUACACUCCUUUUGUUUAUCAAGAAUCUAUAUUCCACUUGCUUAAAAAUAUUCAGAAGCUCUGCUUUUACUGUCUUUCAAGGGAGAUAGUUCCAAAGCCUCAUGACCUCAUGAGUAAAAAUGUCUCGGGCCUGUCCUAGGUGGGAGAGCCUUUAUUUUUACUGCCCUGGAUGAAAUUGAUCCCCUUGAUAAUUGCCUUCUUAUGCUCAUAUCUUUUAAUUUCCCUGCAAUUUUAAAACUUUUCACUGCCACAAACAACGUACAGAAAUAUAUUUGUUUCUUAUUCAGAAUCUUAGAAUACUUUCUCUAGGGAUUCCUCUAUUCUAAAGAAAACAAGCCUAACCUAUUCAUGAUUUAGAUUCCUGAUAAAUGUCAUAGUCUUUGCUGAUGGUAACUAUGAAAAUAUUCCAUCCUUAACCGGUGUGGUCUAAAUAUGACUGCAGACCCACAGCAAUGUGGCUGACAUCUUAGCUGCUUUCUGAAAUGGGCCCAGCAAGUGUUCAAAGUCAAUUAGAUUUAAUUGACAACACUGACCCAUUAAACAUUAAUAAAGAUUCCAGAGUUCGGGGAUAGAUUUGAAAUUUGGCUGCUUUUCUGUGAGUGUGCAGAUGGCUUUUGAUCUACAAUGAGUGAGUUUAGAUGGAACCAACCUGAUUUAGCAAUAACAAUUCUCAUUUAUUUUAUAACUUAUCCCAAGGCUUCAUGUCAAGGCAAGUGAAAGUGUGGCCAUUAAUGAUAGAUGAUCAGAAUCUGAAACAUAUGAGAGGCUAGAAUUGGAGGAGAACAGAGAAUCUGGAGCUAUGUAGAGAUGGAGGAAGUUACAGAGAUAGGGAGGAGUGUGGCUAUUGAAAGUAAGGAUAAGAGUUUUAAAAUUAAGGUGUUGCAGGAGCCAAAAAUCAAUGCCACACAGUGACCAUAAAGGAUGAUAGACAAUAGUCCGGGUUGAAAGAUAUAUAGGUUAGGUGGAUUGGCCAUGCUAAAUUGCCCUUAGUGUCCAGGGAUGUGCAGGCAAAGAGGAUUGGCCAUGGGAAAUGCAGGGUUACAGGGAUAGGGUAGGCGGUGGUGGAUGUGGGUGGGCUGCUCUUCAGAGGGUCGGUGUGGGCUUUAUGGGCUGAAUAGUCUGCUUCCACGACUGUAGGUAUUCUAUGAUCCUAUGGUUCUAUGAGUUAGAAAUCAGCCACAGAGUCUUGGAUAUGCUCACAUUGAAAAGGGGGAAGAUGAGAAGCUGGUUAGACAGUGUUAGGGUUGGGGAAUCUUCAACUAAAGUAUGAGUGUUUCAGAUGCAGAUGAGCUAAGGUAGGAGCAAAUUCAGCGAAACUUCAGUUCCUCAUUGAAAUGAAAGCUGACCUCAUUCUUUACCUUUCUGUCUUAAUUCAUUCCUAUGUGGAAUCCUGUUUUGCUAUAACUUCCCACUUUGGCGUGUAAUCCAGCAAACAUUGAAAAUACCCAAGUCUAGUGUUGACUGACCACUACCUCUAAAUUAUCCCACUUUUUUUUCUCCCACUUGUACAAACCUCAAGAGGACACUUGCUUUGUGAAACCUCAGGAAUGUGAAUUUUGAGUCAAUUCCCUAAUCAGUACUGAUCCUCAGCAGCAAGUCUUCCCCCACCCUUCCCAACACCAACCUCUUCUACCCCAUUCCAACUGGUAUGAUGGUUACAUUGCUGGGCUCAUAAACUCAAGAACUUUGAGUUCUAAACCAGGUUAAAUGAAAGUCGUAAUCCUUCCAAUGAUUUCAAAAUGUGAUGUCAAUUAAAUCAGUAUAAAUCUUGUGUCAAUAAAAGAGAUUGGAAAACCGUUGGAUUGACUUUAAGAACCCAACAAGUUCCCAGAUGUCCUCUUUGGAAAGAAAGUUGGCUGUAGUCUUGACCUACAGGUAAAUCUAGGUCCUUGCUGAAGUGACUGUUUCUCAAUUGCCCUCUGAAAGCUUAACAGGGCAUUCAAUCAUGUCAAGGUAGACAAGACUGUCUGCCUUGCUAGUAACGUUCACGUUCUGAGAACGGGAUAUUAAAAUCUGUCAGCAGAAUCAGAACUGACUGCCGUGGGGUUUCUAUUCCUGUGGCAUCGAGUUAUAGAGUAUGGUGAAAAUACCGAGCGGUGAAUCAUUCUCCAAAAUGAAAAUAGCUUCAGUGUGGGAGGAAUGUGAAUUCUCACUGUCUCUUAACCCCAUAUGCAGCAAAUGAAGUCGAACCCUUCAAGGUGAUUAGUCAUUGCCAUUGAAUGUAUGAAAAACAAAUCCGAGAAAACAGGAUUUUAUUCUGUGCACCUAUUUAUUCCCCUCACUCACUAUCCCUUCCUGGUCCCAAUUUAUCUCUUUUCAGCUCCAAGUUACAGCUUUGUGAAUAUUACCAUUCUGCUCCUGUCUUCAUUCACUAAGAGACUUUUGCAAUUUCCCUCAUAAAACCCUCUGCUUUGCCUCUCCUCCUUUUAAGAUGCUACUUAAAAUCUGUAUCUUUGACUAGUUUUGGUCACCUCUCUACAUUUCCUCUUUUGUGAUAACUGUCCUGUGGUGCACUUUGGGCUUUUUUUGCUAUGCUGAAGGAGCUUUACAAGUGCAAGCUGUUGUUGAAGCAGUUUAGAUCCUGUGCUGUGUCUUGUGACUAGUUAUCUGGCACAUGAUAAAAAGAGUUAUUAUAUUCAAGAAGAUGUUAGAUUAGGUGAGGUUCUUGUAGGAACAUUUACACCCUUGUUGUAGUUUCCAAGCUGUUACCACAAGAAUGAACACCAACAGAUUAAAUGCUGUGUUAAUACAUUUCAUAAAGGAAUUGGCCCUAACUGCACCUAGGAACAGGAGAAGGCCAUUCAGCCCAUUGAACCUGGGCUGUUUUUUUAAAAUGAGAAAUCUUAGGUUAACUUAAUCCUACCUUCAUUUACCCACCAUGGCUUUGCAUCCAUUGGAUUCUUGGAAAAUGUAUUAAUCUCAAACUUAAGCUAAUUCAUAACAUUUGAGGUAACUUCUGCAACUUUUAGCAGGAGUGAUUUUGAGACUUCUGUCAUCAUUUGAGUGAUUAAAUAUUUGCUAACUUCCCUCUUGAAUGUCUUGACUGUGACUUUAAGGGUACGUCACCAUGACUUAGUCUUCCCCGACCAUUCAGGAUUGAUGGCAAACAUGAGUCACCUUCUCGCCCAGUUUUCAUAGGAGAGGUUGGGUGGGUGUUUGUGUGGGUUGUGGUCAAUAACCAACAGUGAUGAGUAAAAUUUCAUCAGUGACGGGUAUCGGUAUGCAGUCAGUGACACCAUCAUUUCCUUUACAGUAUAGAGUGUCUCCAACCCAACAUGGCAAGCCACAACCCACAAACAUUCUUAUUGUCAAAAUAACUUGCAUUUAACUCAUUCCAUUUCACAAGCUGAGGUAGUCUUCAGUGAAUGAAGUACUUCUGAAGUAUAUUCACUGUUCUCAUUGCAUGAUAAGGUUGUGCAAACAAUAAUGUCAUAACGAUCAGAGUUUCUUCAUUCAUUCAUGGGAUAAAGGGGGUGCUGGCUAGACAGCAUUUAUUGCCGAGAGGGCAGUUAAGAGUCAACCGCAUUACAGUGGGUCUGGAGUCACAUGUAGGCCAGACAGGUAAGAAUGGCAAUUUCCUUCCCUAAACCAGAUUAGUGAACCAGAUCGGUUUCUUUUCCCCCGAGAUUCGGCAAUGGAUUCAUGGUCAUCAUUCGAUUCUUAAUGACCGUUGUUGAUUGUUGUAAAAAUCCAUGAUUGCCCUUCAGGGAAGGAAAUUUCCAUCCUUCCCUGGUCUGGCCUAUGUGUGACUCCAGAGCCACUGCAAUGUGGUUGACUCUUAACUGCCCUCUGGGCAAUAGGUUGGGUAAUAAUCUGCUUUAGUUAGUUUUGUUUAAGGAAAUAAUUUUGGUCAAGAGAUUACAAGGAGAGUCUCCCUGCUUUAGCAUCUGUUAUAGUCAACUGAGAGGGUAGAGGGUCUUGGUUUAACAUCUUGGCUGAAAGACAGCACCUCUGCCAAUGCAGAAAUCCCUCAGUUUGCACUGGGAAUGUCAAACUGGGUCACCUACUCACAUGUCUGAAGUUUAAUUUGGACCAACAUACUUCUCACUUAGAGACAAGUGAGCCAGACAUGACACCACUCUGGGAGGCUACCCACAUCCAGGUCCUCUGUGAUUCUUGAGGUGGGUGCUAUAUUAACAAGUCAUGUUGCAGCUUCUGUGUCAUGUAUUGACAUAAUAUGAGCUCAUUAGUGCGUUCAACAUAGGAACAUUUUGAAAAUCUCAGGACAGAAUGGGAGGAAGUGUUUUAUAGAUCUGGGAUUAUGGAUUCUCAUCAUGGACUGACCUUUUGUGUUCCUGCUAGCAUCCACUGUCUUGCCUGUGGUCAGUAAGGGUGAUAAAGCAGAACUAUUGUCCUCUUAUUCACUUUGUACAUUCUGGAAAUGUGAUAAGGCACAUUGUUAAAUGAUUCCAUCUACAACUAUUGGAUUCUGGCUUUAGGACUUUAUCAGGCUCUGGGUCAGUAGUGACACAGUAAUGAGCAUGGCUGAUACCUCCAACACCAUUUGCCAAAGUGAAGUGUAACCCUUUCUUAAUACAUGGCACAGUCGUUUCAGUUCUCCCAGCAGCUAGCUUUGCUCUCUCUCCCAAUGGAAAUGGGGAGUGCCCUCUCGGGUCCCUGCCUCAGUCCUGUCCUAGACAACACUGUAUCCAAUGGUAGGGCAACAAACCUGAAAGGGACUUCACGACCUUUUCAGCAGCCCUAGGGAGGACUCUUUUGAACCCCUCCUGAGAAAGCUGUCAGAGUUUGAUGCGGGCACAUCUCAGAGACCCAACUAGAGCUGGAAUCUUUCAAAAAGCUCAAUUAUGUUUUGGUUCAUAAAACUUAUUAUCAGAGCAAUAAAGAUGAGUUGGUUCAGGUCUAUAAUUUCCAAUGGUAUUCUGGAACAUUUUAGUGGAUCACUAUAGGGAAAUAAAUUGCCAUUUGACAAAAAAGCAAACGAUGCAGCAGCAUCAUAUUCUGCCUGUUUAUAAAGUGAAUUAUUUGAGGGUCGAAAGAAGCUGCUGGCUGACAAUGUUGUACUGUAUCAGGACCUGUACUUUCUGGUAGAAAGAUGAAAGAGAGUUAAAAUGUAGUUGAAGUCUGAUAGAUAGAAUGGAACCAGAGCUUUAGCUACUCCUGUGCCUUCAGUAGGGUCUGUUCUAUAACAUAGACUCAUUGGGAAACAGUGGCCUGUUGACUUGUGAUAUCACGGUCUCUUUGCUUGUCUUUGUUUUGAUGAGUGGGCUAGGGCUGGUCAGUUCCGAGGGUAAUGUGAGGCCUCAGACUGUCUUAUCCCUGAGCAGCUACACCAAAGGUGAGUGAAGCAAGUUUUUUUAUUUGUCUGUGGAAUUUGGGCAUCACUGGCUCGGCCAGGAUUUAUUGCUCAUCCCUAAUUGCCUAGAGGACAGAUAAGUGUCAACCACAUUGCUGAGGUUCUGGAGUCAUGUGUAGGCCAGGCCAGUUAAGGAUGGCAGAUUUCCAUGUAAUCAAUAUGAGCCUUUUUAACAAUAAUGAAUUUCCUAAUUUUGUUUUUCUUAUUGAAUUCAAAUUUCAUUGUUUGCCAUGGUGUGAUUUGAACCCAUGUUCCCAGAAUAUUAACCUAGGGUUUCAGAUUAGUAUCCAGUAGCAUUAUUGCUAUGCUACUGCAUCCCUCAGAGUUAGAAUAGCUAUCUAAUUUAAGAUGUUGCUGAGCCUUGUGGAGCAGGAAGAUCCCACGUGCAAUCUUUGGUGAUGACCAGUUUAGAUUUUUCUAGUUUAAGAAUAUAUUUGGCUGGUGGAGUUGACUGUGGAUGUAUGUUUGAUUCAUACAUGUGUAACCCCAGCUUAGUGUGUUAAUUAACACUGAAGAUACAUUCACUGAUACCCUUUGAUAAGCUUUGGUGACACUUGAAUCCCAACAAGGAUCUAUUGAUUCCUUUUUUAUUGAAUUCACCAAUUUCUACAUCUCACAUCAGUCAAUAUUGACACAGUUAUGUAUUUUAACCAGAGGGAUCACUGCGCUCAAAUUAAGCGGAUUGAACAUAUCCCUUCACGAAGCCCGAGUGAGUAGCUUAACAACAAAUUUUCUGAUCCAGUCACACUAGCUGGAGGCUCUUGUCUCCCCUUGGCCAUUGUCCCAUGUUUAGCUGAGACGAAUCCCCACUUCUGGUUCUGAAUGUUUCAGUAUUGUGAAAUGAUCAAAUCAGUUCUUUAUGGUGAAUAUGUUGGAUUUGUAGAAAUUAUAAAAUUUCAAUGAAAUAAAUAUAUAUAUAAAAUAUAUAUAUAUAUUUUCUGAAAAGAAUUUGAGCCCAACCUCAAGGGAAACUGAUAUUACUUGGUUUGGCAAAAUGUGUAGACAAUCAAAGAAAGUGGCUAUUUUUGUU